UGUGUGUGUGUGUGUGUGUGUGUGUGUGUGUGUAGGUAUAUCAUAAUUAGGGUUGUGUUCCAGGCAAUAUAAGCAUGUUUUUUUAAACACACACACACACAUAUAUAAAACAUAUG